AGUAUCUGCGCAGGCGCAGUCAGGGUUGCUCACGACUGCCCGACUUGUCCGGUCUAAUAGAAACCCACCUAUUGAUCCAUCCAACUGUAUUCACUUUCCCUUAGAGCUGGCUGUCAUUCAUCCAAUCGUAAUGCUCCUAUGGACUAUGACUGUCACAGUGCACCUUACGAGUCUCGACAAUUCAUAGUUUAAAAUCGGCACACUCUAAACCAUGAUCAUGACAAUUUACUCGGUUCGUGAUAAUGAGUGCGGAACCGUUCAUAUAUAAAUACUGAUAAUUAUAAUGACUUAACAUUUAACCUUGAUAUUCGUCAGAAAUAAUUCAUGCUGUGGCAAAAAUUUGUAUUGCCUUAUCUAAUCAGUGUAACUAACCUGCUGUUAUUAUAGUACAUAUCAUAGUACUGUGAUUUUGUGUUAUCGCACUUCUCUCUUUUUUUUAAUUAAAAAUAUCCAUAAAUGAUUUGAUACUGCUCUUAAUAUAUCCUAUUAUUCGUUUUUAUGACUUUUCAUACGUUAUCAGACACGGAAUUGCAGAUAUGAUUCAUAACGAGCACAUCGCAUUAAUUUCCUGCAAGAAAUGACGCAACGGAGUAUAGAGUGCUGGAAACAUGGCGUAACGAAACGCAACGUCCUACGUGCUUGACGUCAUACACUGAAUGGGGACUGGUACAUCUUUUCACGAUAGUGCCUUAUGGCUUUUUAUUCAAAGAAUAAAAAUACUUGCAAGAGGUUUGAAAUGAAAACGUGCAGGAGAUCGCAUACUCCUGGCCUGAAUUCCGCGAAUGCUUCACUGUAUUGCGAAUCGUUAAUUUAGGUUUGGCAUGCUGGUUCAAAAGACUCAAUUCGUACGAGACAGUUGAUGCCAAAAGGAAUCAGUGGCUUCUAAGAGUCGCUAAAUUACGAGGACAUUCAACAGAUUGCAGUAAAUGGUCAUAAUGAAUAUUAUCUUCGUUUCCAAAUUCUUUCGUCAUCCAUACGUAUUUCUGUGGAAAGGAGGCUUUUGAUACUUUGGGUAAAACCGGCACAUCUCGAUAUAAAUAAAUGAAUAAAAUAUAUCAACGCAUGAAAAGUUGCCAAAGAGAUGCGAAGGCUAACUGUCAAUGUGUUUUCAUUACGUGAGUGAUGGUUUAGAAUUAUUCUUCGAAAAAUAAUAUAUAGAUUAUCGAUUGUUAUGAGUACAUACGAUGACAAUAGUAUAAUGCGUCGAAUCAGACGAAAUACAAGUUAAAAGCAUGAAGCGUGACUGAAGGUUCUCAUCCGGACGUAACCACCGACUUGCCAGAAUCGCAGUGACGCAGUGACAGAAACCAGUUCGUAAGUUGAAAGAUCUAAAUUAGCCGAUAAAUAUUUACAGCCAAACAUGAAAUCUCUUUGAAGCAUUUACAGAAUUUUUACACAAUAAAAUGUAUAAAUUUAUAUAUCGCAGAUAGUUGGGAAAAGAUAUGGAGCUAAUAAAUAAACUGUUCUUAUUUUUUAAAAUUAUUUUUAACAAUCCUGUGCACAUCGUGUAUGCAUCCUUCAGUCUAUCAAAUACCCAAGUCUAAUUCACGAGAAUUUUGACGCAGCGCACCAGACGUGACAGGAACUCUACGUUUUCUUUUUAUAAAUCGUCAAAGUCAUAGUGGG